AUGCAUUCGCAACCUUGGGAGAAAAUUUCAGUGUCAAAAUUCAGAGGUGGCAUGGGGUUUUGGGGUGUUGAGCUGUUUAAUGAAUGUAUGUUGGCAAAACAAUCAUGGCGCCUGAUGGAUAAACCGGAGAGCCUAUGUGCUCGGGUGUUAAAGGGGAGGUAUUACCCUCAUUGUGAUUUCCUUGAUGUAGAUUGCCCGAAGAAUGCAUCUCAAACCUGGAAAGAAAUCGUGCAGGGAAGAGAGGUUCUGAAGGAAAGAUUUAUUCAAAGAGUUGGGGAUGGGUGUACUACAAAAAUCUGGCAUGACCAGUGGAUUUCAGAUACAACUUCGAUGAAACCAGUAUGUCGGCUGAGUGAUGAACCGGUGCAAUUGGUUCAUGAUUUAUUGGAAGAGGAAACAUAG
rnacentral:rRNA from 1 species